rnacentral:rRNA from 1 species
GAUGAACGCUGGCGGCGUGCCUAAUACAUGCAAGUCGAGCGAACAGACGUGGAGCUUGCUCCUCUGACGUUAGCGGCGGACGGGUGAGUAACACGUGGAUAACCUACCUAUAAGACUGGGAUAAUUUCGGGAAACCGGAGCUAAUACCGGAUAAUAUAUUGAACCGCAUGGUUCAAUAGUGAAAUACGGUUUUUCUGUCUCUUAUAGAUGGAUCUGCGCCGCAUUAGCUAGUUGGUAGGGUAACGGCUUACCAAGGCAACGAUGCGUAGCCGACGUGAGAGGGUGGUCGGCCACACUGGAGCUGAGACAGGGUCAAGACUCCUGCGGGAGGCAGCAGUAGGGAAUCUUCCGCAAUGGGCGAGAGCCUGACGGAGCAACGCCGCGUGAGUGAUGGAGGUCUUCGGAUCGUAAAACUCUGUUAUUGGGGAAGAACAAAUGUGUAAGUAACUAUGGACGUCUUGACGGUACCUAAUCAGAAAGCCACGGCUAACUACGUG